rnacentral:rRNA from 1 species
CCUACGGGAGGCAGCAGUGAGGAAUAUUGGUCAAUGGGCGGAAGCCUGAACCAGCCAAGUCGCGUGAGGGAAUAAGGCCCUACGGGUCGUAAACCUCUUUUGCCGGGGAGCAGAGGUCCGGACGUGUCCGGGCCGGGAGAGUACCCGGAGAAAAAGCAUCGGCUAACUCCGUGACAGCAGCCGCGGUAAUACGGAGGAUGCGAGCGUUAGCCGGAUUUAUUGGGUUUAAAGGGUGCGUAGGCGGGCAUUUAAGCCGGCGGUCAAAUGUCGGGGCUCAACCCCGGCCUGCCGUCGGAACUGGGGGCCUUGAGUGGGCGAGAGGUAGGCGGAAUGCGUGGUGUAGCGGUGAAAUGCAUAGAGAUCACGCAGAACCCCGAUUGCGAAGGCAGCAUACCGGCGCCCUACUGACGCUGAGGCACGAAAGUGCGGGUAUCGAACAGGAUUAGAUACCCGUGUAGUC